GAUGAGCGCUGACAGAAUGCUUAACACAUGCAAGUCCACUUGAAUUUGGGUUUUUUAACUUAGAUUUGGGUGGCGGACGGGUGAGUAACGCGUAAAGAACUUGCCUCACAGCUAGGGACAACAUUUGGAAACGAAUGCUAAUACCUGAUAUUAUGAUUAUAAGGCAUCUUAGAAUUAUGAAAGCUAUAUGCGCUGUGAGAGAGCUUUGCGUCCCAUUAGCUAGUUGGAGAGGUAACGGCUCACCAAGGCGAUGAUGGGUAGCCGGCCUGAGAGGGUGAACGGCCACAAGGGGACUGAGACACGGCCCUUACUCCUACGGGAGGCAGCAGUGGGGAAUAUUGGACAAUGGACCAAGAGUCUGAUCCAGCAAUUCUGUGUGCACGAUGACGUUUUUCGGAAUGUAAAGUGCUUUCAGUUGGGAAGAAAAAAAUGACGGUACCAACAGAAGAAGUGACGGCUAAAUACGUG
rnacentral:rRNA from 1 species